rnacentral:sRNA from 1 species
UUGACAAAAAGAAGACAUAGCAACUAAAAAUUUGGU